GUGGGGAAUAUUGGAGAAUGGGCGCAAGCCUGAUCCAGCCAUGCCGCGUGUGUGAAGAAGGCCUUCGGGUUGUAAAGCACUUUUGUCCGGGAAGAAAUCUUCCAGGUUAAUACCCUGGGAGGCUGACGGUACCGGAAGAAUAAGCACCGGCUAACUUCGUGCCAGCAGCCGCGGUAAUACGAAGGGUGCAAGCGUUACUCGGAAUUACUGGGCGUAAAGCGUGCGUAGGUGGUUCGUUAAGUCUGCCGUGAAAGCCCCGGGCUCAACCUGGGAAUGGCGGUGGAUACUGGCGGGCUAGAGUGCGGUAGAGGGUGGUGGAAUUCCCGGUGUAGCAGUGAAAUGCGUAGAGAUCGGGAGGAACAUCUGUGGCGAAGGCGGCCACCUGGACCAGCACUGACACUGAGGCACGAAAGCGUGGGGAGCAAACAGGAUUAGAAACCCGAGUAGUCC
rnacentral:rRNA from 1 species